GACAUUAACAAAUACAAGCUAGUAUACAGUAAGAAAUACAAGCUAGUAUACAGUAUAUACUGUAAGAAAUACAAGCCAGUAUACAGUAUAUACAUGAACAAAUACAAGUUAGUAAACAGUAUAUACAUUAACAAAUACAAGAUAGUAUACAGUAUAUACAUUAACAAAUACAAGUUAGUAUACAGUAUAUACAGUAACAAAUACAAGCUAGUAUACAGUAUAUACACUGACAAAUACAAGUUAGUAUACAGUAUAUACACUGACAAAUAAAAGUUAGUAUACAGUAUAUAUAUUUUGAAACAAAACGCCAGAUAAUGUCUGCUAAUAGGUGCCAUUUUGGGGUCCUUAUACACACACCAUAGUAAUACUGUAUGUUGAAGCACAGUACAUCUGACUAUGGUAGUCAGACAACAAUCCAAGCGGUGCAACUUCUUAGCUUACCAAAGUCCUACUAAAACAUUUUGACAGAUUGUUGAGCACUGUGUCAUGUUCUAUAUUCUCAAAGGAACAUUUAAAGUUUUGGUGUUUACUGGCAUUAUCUUGCAGUCCACACCUAUCUCUUAUGUGUGACUGCCAUUUACUGGUCACACUUAUCAUUACACCUUGUACCAAAUAAAAUAGCUUCCAGGUCGGUAAGCACAACCAGAAUGAUUCCGUACAUUAGGUUUUAGUGCGCUUUAUAGUCUGAAAAAUACAACCUCCACAUUUUUUUAGACAACAGUCUAUAAUGUUGAUAUGGGAAAAUGAAGGUGGCAAAGUCACUUUAUGGUUUGAAAAUAAAUUCUGCACUUAAUUUGUUGCUGUGUUUCCAUGUUAGCCAUAACUAGUGAUUUGAUGUAGUGCACAACCUACUUGAAGGUGCCUCCAUGAGGUCAAAAUUGCUUUUUGGACUUCUCACACAACUCUUCAGUUUACCAGAACGAGACUUGCUUUCCGGGAUUUAGGUUUUGAUUUUGGAUAAAUAGAACGAAUAAAGCGGCCCACUAAAAUCAUAUCGGAUAGUGCUGACAAUGGCAUUGGCUUGAACUCUGUCUGUCAGGUUCAAACACCGAUGACAUCUAUUACAAGACAAGAAGCAAAGGAAAUCAAACAGAGACAGGAUUCAAUUUAGCUCAUGAGGAGAGCGCCUGUGUGCCUGCACCCUCGUACAGCAUCACCACACCGCUCUGACGAGGGAGUUCCACGCGUCCUCUUUUAUUUGGGCUUUUUCUGAUUACAUAGCAUUACAUUACAUUACGCAGCUGCUCCUAAGGGGAGGUGGUCAUAAACAGCUGUUGCACUCGGUCAUAAACACUUCAAAGAAAAGGUGCCUGGAGCUGCGUCAGGUCUGCUCCCUCUCCGCUUUGUAGAUCUCAGGUCAGGACAAGGUCUACCUGUGGCUGUCAAUAGAUCAAAGAAACCGACACCCCCGUGUCGCAUCCCAUCGCACACAGUGGAGUUUUACAAGCCUUUUGCUUGAUAAGAUGAAAGACAGCUUUUGUCUUCGCGCAGGGCGAGCUGAAAUCAUGGGAACACAAAGUUGUGUGAUAACUUAUAUACAAUUAUUCUGACACUGUCCAAACAUUAUGUCUGGUGAAAAACAUCCCAUUUUUCCUCUAGGAAACAACACACUGGGAUUUGUUAAUGUUGUUACUUCAAAUAAUAAAAAAAUCUUCUUUCGCUUUGAGUUUGACCGUUUAUCUAAAGAAUUUGAUUGUUGACCACCACAAACUCUUCAAGAACUUGUGCUCACACAGAAACUUGAUACCAAAGCAUCAUUUUAUGAUUCAUGAUCUGUCGACGAUUAGGAUUGUUGUGUGGAGUAUGAGCUUUGAGGCCAAGCAUACGUUUUUUUAGAGCAGUGGUCCUCAACCACCGGUCCGUGACGCAAUUUCUACCUGGCCCCACAGAGCCAUUAAACAAUUUCUCCUACUUCACUUUGGCCAGUCCCAGCAGACACACCAAUAAGCUUGUUCUAAAACUCCUGAUUUGCUAUAUCUCUUACAUCUUUGUGACAUGGGACAAUGCACAUUAAUAAACAUCAAGUUGCCAAAAGCUAGGUUCCAUCUGCAGGUUGAUGACCUAAGAUCAGUAGUAGUUCAACUGGAGAAGUGCUAAAUUGUUGCAUAUAAUAAUUGUGCUGAAGGAAGAAAAUACACGUCUCCUUUGACCUCGUCAGUUAAAGGCCUACUGAAACCCACUACUACCGACCACGCAGUCUGAUAGUUUAUAUAUCGAUGAUGAAAUCUUAAAAUUGCAACACAUGCCAAUACGGCCGGGUUAGAUUAGUAAAGUGCAAUUUUAAAUUUCCCGCGAAAUAUCCUGCUGAAAACGUCUCGGUAUGAUGACAUUUGCGCGUGACGUCACAGAUUGUAGCGGACAUUUUGGGACAGCAUUGUGGCCAGCUAUUAAGUCGUCUGUUUUCAUCGCAAAAUUCCACAGUAUUCUGGACAUCUGUGUUGGUGAAUCUUUUGCAAUUUGUUUAAUGAACAAUGAAGACAGCAAAGAAGAAAGCUGUAGGUGGGAAGCGGUGUAUUAGCGGCCGGCUGCAGCAACACAAACACGUAGCCGGUGUUUCAUUGUUUACAUUCCCGAAAUAUGACAGUCAAGCUUUACCAUUGGCCUGUGGAGAACUGGGACAACAGAGACUCUUACCAGGAGGACUUUGAGUUGGAUACGCGGUACCGUGAGUACGCAGCUGCGGCUUCCAAACAUUUGAUCGCUUGCCCGUACAUGCGUGCCGCUAUGUGCAUGUCACGUACGUAACUUUGGGGAAAUAUAUGCGCUGUAUGAACUUUGCGGAGGUGAACGGUACUGUGGGCUGUGGGAUUGAGUGUGUUGUGCGGGUGUUUGAUUUGUAUUGGCGGGUUGUAUGGACGGUUUUUUGUUAUGCGGGAUUAAUUUGUGGCAUAUUAAAUAUAAGCCUGGUUGUGUUGUGGCUAAUAGAGUAUAUACUGUAUAUGUCUUGUGUUUAUUUACUGUUUUAGUCAUUCCCAGCUGAAUAUCAGGUCCCACCCGCCUCUCACAGCAUCUUCCCUAUCUGAAUCGCUUCCACUGCCCUCUAAUCCUUCACUCUCACUUUCCUCAUCCACAAAUCUUUCAUCCUCACUCAAAUUAAUGGGGUAAUCGUCGCUUUCUCGGUCCGAAUCGCUCUCGCUGCUGGUGGCCAUUAUUGUAAACAAUGUGCAGAUGUGAGGAGCGCCACAACCUGUGACGUCACGCUACUUCCGGUACAGGAAAGGCUUUUUUAUCAGCGACCAAAAGUUGCGAACUUUAUCGUCGAUGUUCUCUACUAAAUCCUUUCAGCAAAAAUAUGGCAAUAUCGCGAAAUGAUCAAGUAUGACACAUAGAAUGGAUCUGCUAUCCCCGUUUAAAUAAGAACAUCUCAUUUCAGUAGGCCUUUAAAUAGCUGCUAUUAUUGCACAAAUAUGAAUACAUAACUUUUAGAAUGGAAGUAGAAAUCCACAGAAAUGUAUUCAUUUUUCAUGCACUUACAGUCGUGGUCAAAAGUUUACAUACACUUGUAAAGAACAUAAUGUCAUGGCUGUCUUGAGUUUCCAAUACUUUCGACAACUCUUAUUAUUAUUAUUGGUGCAGUUCAGCUAAAUUUGUUGGUUUUCUGACAUGGGCUUGUUUCUUCAGCAUUGAAUUUAGCUGAACUGCACCAAUUUUGUCAAGAGGAGUGGUCAAAAAUUCAACCAGAAGCUUGUGGAUGGCUACCAAAAGCGCCUUAUUGCAGUGACACUUGCCAAGGGACAUGUAACCAAAUAUUAACAUUGCUGUAUGUAUACUUUUGACCCAGCAGAUUUGGUCACAUUUUCAGUAGACCCAUAAUAAAUUCAUAAAAGAACCAAACUUCAUGAAUGUUUUUUGUGACCAACAAGUAUGUGCUCCAAUCACUCUAUCACAAAAAAAUAAGAGUUGUAGAAAUGAUUGGAAACUCAAGACAGCCAUGACAUUAUGUUCUUUACAAGUGUAUGUAAACUUUUGACCAGGACUGUAUUUGCUAUAUUUAUCUGGCACACAUGGAAGGCCGGUCCGUGAAAAUAAUGCCUACGUUAAACCGCUCCCUGGUGCAAAAAAGGUUGGGGACCACUGAUUUAGUGUAUUUCAAAAAAAUAACCAAAUGACUUGCUAAAAGGCAUCAGAUGACCAUCACUGGGAAACCUUCACACACACAAACAGAAUAUGGGCCAAUCACAUCAUUUUGAGAGAGGAAAAAGUCAACAAUUAAGAGUUGUGUGAACAUUCAAAGUGUGGAGUACACAGCUGGCCAUGAUUUGCUCGUCAAAUACUUGAUAUUCUUCUGCUUGACAUUUUUUCGUUGACACAAAAGCAAUUCACUGAGAACUCCGAUGAACAUGCCCACACAUUUAAAACUUUACAAACCCAGAGAAGGUGUGCAAUUAAAAAUAACCUUGCGUAAAUAUUCCGAACCAUUUGACACUUAAAUAUCACGUGGUUCUGCAGAUGAACAUUUGUGUAUCGUACCCUCAUUUGUUUUUUUAACUGACUGCACGGGACCAAACAGAAAUAAAUAUUAUUGGAAAUGCA